UAGGUGGCCAAUUAAGUCAAAUGUGAAAUCCCCGAGCUUAACUUGGGAAUUGCAUUCGAUACUGGUUGGCUAGAGUAUGGGAGAGGAUGGUAGAAUUCCAGGUGUAGCGGUGAAAUGCGUAGAGAUCUGGAGGAAUACCGAUGGCGAAGGCAGCCAUCUGGCCUAAUACUGACACUGAGGUGCGAAAGCAUGGGGAGCAAACAGGAUUAGAUACCCUGGUAGUCCAUGCCGUAAACGAUGUCUACUAGCCGUUGGGGCCUUUGANGCUUUAGUGGCGCANCUANCGCGAUANUANACCGCCUGGGGAGUACGGUCGCAGACUAAACUCAAAUGAAUUGACNGGGGCCCCCCNCANCNGU
rnacentral:rRNA from 1 species